rnacentral:rRNA from 1 species
CCUACGGGUGGCAGCAGUAGGGAAUAUUGCUCAAUGGGGGAAACCCUGAAGCAGCAACGCCGCGUGGAGGAUGAAGGUUUUCGGAUUGUAAACUCCUUUUGUUAGAGAAGCUAAUGACGUUAUCUAACGCAUAAGCACCGGCUAACUCCGUGCCAGAAGCCGCUGUACUACGGAGGGUGCAAGCGUUACUCGGAAUCACUGAGCGUAAAGAGCGCGUAGGCGGGAUAGAAAGUCAGAUGUGAAAUCCUAUGGCUUAACCAUAGAACUGCAUGUGAAACUGUUAUUCUAGAGUAUGGGAGAGGUAGGUGGAAUUCUGGGUGUAGGGGUAAAAUCCGUAGAGAGCAAGAGGAAUACUCAUUGCGAAGGCGACCUGCUAGAACAUAACUGACGCUGAUGCGCGAAAGCGUGGGGAGCAAACAGGAUUAGAUACCCCGGUAGUC